UUAAAAUUGAAAUGCAUCUUCUGCAGACACCGGGUUAAGAGGGUCUCUGGAGCCUGCAUCCAGUGUUCCUACGGUCGCUGCCCGGCCUCCUUCCAUGUCACUUGUGCCCAUGCUGCUGGGGUACUGAUGGAGCCUGAUGACUGGCCUUAUGUGGUGAACAUUACAUGCUUUCGACAUAAGGUCAACCCCAACGUGGUAAGAUGUGCCCUCCCUUCCUCAGUGCUAAGACCGUGUCUGGAUUUUCUCCUGUUUUAGACUACCUCCCAGACAUAAUGUGCUUUAUUCUGUAAUAUGACUCAUUGUUGACAUGUCUAGACCGUGAGUUCCUUGAGGGCAGGGAUU
rnacentral:lncRNA from 10 species